rnacentral:rRNA from 1 species
UACGUAGGUGGCAAGCGUUGUUCGGAAUUAUUGGGCGUAAAGGGCGCGUAGGCGGUUUGUUAAGUCAGGUGUGAAAGCCCUGGGCUUAACCUAGGAAUUGCGCUUGAGACUGGAUAGCUUGGAGUGUGGCAGAGGGAGGUGGAAUUCCACGUGUAGCAGUGAAAUGCGUAGAGAUGUGGAGGAACACCGAUGGCGAAGGCAGCCUCCUGGGCCAGCACUGACGCUCAU